rnacentral:rRNA from 1 species
CAGCACCUCAAGUGGUCAGGAUGAUUAUUGGGCCUAAAGCAUCCGUAGCCGGCGCUGUAAGUUUUCGGUUAAAUCUGUACGCUCAGCGUACAGGCUGCCGGGAAUACUGCAGCGCUAGGGAGUGGGAGAGGUAGACGGUACUCGGUAGGAAGGGGUAAAAUCCUUUGAUCUAUUGAUGACCACCUGUGGCGAAGGCGGUCUACCAGAACACGUCCGACGGUGAGGGAUGAAAGCUGGGGGAGCAAAACGGAUUAGAUACCCGAGUAGUCC